GGAAGCCAUCCGGCUGGAUGAGGACCCUGUCUUGAAAACAGGUGGCUGCGAAAGCGGCUUGUGAGUUCGAGUCUCACGGCUUCCGC
rnacentral:tRNA from 1 species